rnacentral:piRNA from 1 species
UGGAAGAAAAGGAUAUUUGUGUUUUAAAAU